rnacentral:tRNA from 1 species
GCCGAAGUGGCGGAACUGGUAUACGCGCACGACUCAAAAUCGUGUCCCGUUUUCGGGAUGUGGGUUCAAUUCCCACCUUCGGCACCA